rnacentral:rRNA from 1 species
ACGUGGGCAACCUGCCUGUAAGAUUGGGAUAACCCCGGGAAACCGGGGCUAAUACCGGAUAAUACUUUUCGUUGCAUAACGAGAAGUUGAAAGGCGGCUUUUAGCUGUCACUUACAGAUGGGCCCGCGGCGCAUUAGCUAGUUGGUAAGGUAACGGCUUACCAAGGCGACGAUGCGUAGCCGACCUGAGAGGGUGAUCGGCCACACUGGGACUGAGACACGGCCCAGACUCCUACGGGAGGCAGCAGUAGGGAAUCUUCCGCAAUGGACGAAAGUCUGACGGAGCAACGCCGCGUGAGUGAUGAAGGUUUUCGGAUCGUAAAACUCUGUUGUCAGGGAAGAACAAGUGCCGUUCAAAUAGGGCGGCACCUUGACGGUACCUGACCAGAAAGCCCCGGCUAACUACGUGCCAGCAGCCGCGGUAAUACGUAGGGGGCAAGCGUUGUCCGGAAUUAUUGGGCGUAAAGCGCGCGCAGGCGGUCCUUUAAGUCUGAUGUGAAAGCCCACGGCUUAACCGUGGAGGGCCAUUGGAAACUGGAGGACUUGAGUACAGAAGAGGAGAGUGGAAUUCCACGUGUAGCGGUGAAAUGCGUAGAGAUGUGGAGGAACACCAGUGGCGAAGGCGACUCUCUGGUCUGUAACUGACGCUGAGGUGCGAAAGCGUGGGGAGCGAACAGGAUUAGAUACCCUGGUAGUCCACG